UCCAGAUUACCUGUUAAAGCCAAAAUGUACUUUUAAGUCUGCUAUUCAUGCUGCAACAGCGGAAUUCACUUCCCGAACAAGUUGUUUGUAAAAAGUAUUGGUUACCCGUGACCUGUGUUCAGUGCUUCUAGUCACCAUUUCUCACAACAGUAUUAUUGAUAAGCAGCCUCUAUCAGUGCUGUCCAAUAAACUUUCUGUGAUGACAGACAUGUUUUAUAUCUGUGCUGUCCAAUGUGGUAUUGUAGCCACUAGCCACAUGUGUCUGUUGAGCAACUAAGGAACUAUAUUUUAAAUUUUAUGUAAUUUUAAUUAAUUUAGACAGCCACUUGUGGCUGGUGGCUAUUGUAUUGGACAGCACAACUUUAGGUACUAUGUAAGGGACUCUUGAUUUAUUGGGCAAGAAAUUAUGUAUAUGCUUGGAGAUGUGUAGAGAUUCGUUAGUAUGUUCAUUCCUUACACACGUCAUGAGUUUCUAUACAUUGCGAUAAGCUAAUAAUGGGAAUGCUAUCUAAGAUUCUGUUUUAGGAAGAAUGUGAAGAUGUGGAACUAGUAUGGCUGUUUAGAAAUUGAAGCUCAAAGUUUUAUGUUAAUAUGGGCAAAAGGGGAAAUAAAAUGCUAAGAUAGCUUUUCCUCUUAAUGAAGUCAAGGUUAUAGAAUGGCCUGUCCUGGGAAGCGUAGCAGAUGUUUCACUUCUGACCAAGAGGGAUAUUCUUCAGCAAAAUUCUGAAAGCAGAAAAAGCCAAAGUCUCAGCAAAUGCAUCUCUAGGAAAGACGGGGUAAGAGGCAGUGCGGGGAAGAUGUGGGGGAGAGGUAUUUAUAGCCUAAUAUAAUGAAAGGAGCCUGGUGAUAUUAAUUAUUAUUUAACAUAGGACUUUAUAAUUCACAGAGUUACACAUUUAUUAUUAUUAUCAUAGUUUUUGUUAGCCUUGGCCUGAGACAGAAUGAAACAGUUUUCUUCAUUACCAGUUCUUCUACCAGAAAGUCCAUGCUUAGGAAGAGAGAGGAAUGAAAGAUCAAAACCUAAUUUAAAUGGUAAAGAGUUGCCAAAUUUGGUUAAGAAAUGUCUAAUUGGAUUACAGAUUCAAAUUGCAGAAUCCUAGUUGAAAGAAACUAAGCAUUUUGGCUAGCUGAAAAGGUUGUUUAUUCAAGGGUGGAAUGGUGCUGGCAGAGGCUAACAGCCUUUCACUAUGAGAAUGGCAGUGCUGGCUACAAGACAGAGUUGAGACUGGCACAGCUUCAUGGGGCUCAAGCUUGGCCCAGCAAGGAAAGCCAGAGGAGUUGUGGGUUCAUUAACAGGAUUAUUUGGGGGCUGAGGCCUGGAAGAACUGAAAAAUCUAAUUUAAUAUCUCUGCUUGGCAAGACUUGAGACAUCCCCUUCCCUAAGUAAACAAGCUUGGUAAGUAAUUGAAAAAGAGAAUGGAUUUGAGAACAAAUAGGCAGCUAUGGAAGUACGUGGGCAAUGAGCUAUUAACUAUUUUCUAGGAGGUAGAUUCUGUAUUCUCUGUAUUCUAGGAGUACAGAGAAUACUGUACACUAGGAGCAUUCUCUGUAUUCUCCCUUUUGUAUAUUGGGUCUCUGGAAGCCUACAGCAUGGUUAGAGCUGACUGAAUAUUCUUAGAUGUGUGGCACAUCCUACGUGUGGCUGGGUCCUAUGGAUAGUUUUGCAGGCCAUGAUGUGCAGUGUCCCUUUAGCAGUCAUUGACACACAGUGCGUUAUCAAUAGGUGUUAGUUCUCUAUGGGUCUGACAACUUAGUAUAGUGAAAAGAGUGCUGGCCUGUGACUGAACAUGCUGGAGAAGAGCUUGUCUGGCCACAGGGACACAGCCGUGCAGAUCCAGCAUGUGUCUCCCAUGCGCCAAGUGGAACCCGCAGCCAAGAAGGCAGCCGCACUAGCAGAGGGUGACGAGGACAAUGACAUUGACCUAUUUGGCAGCGACAAUGAGGAGGAAGACAAGGAGGCAUUCCGGCUGUGGGAGAAGUGGCUGCGGUGGUAUGUGGAAAAGAAGGCCAAGAAGCCUGCGUUAGUGGCCAAGUCUUCCAUCCUGCUGGAUGUCAAGCCUUGGGACAAUGAGACCAACAUAGCCCAAUUGGAGGCCUGUAUGCGCUUCAUCCAGCUGGACGGGCUGGUCUGGGGGGGCCUCCAAGCUGAUGCCCAUGGGCUUUGGUAUCCGGAAGCUGCAGAUUCAGUGUGUGGUGGAGGAUGACAAGGUAGGGACAAACUUUCUGGAAGAGGAGAUUACCAAGUUUGAGAGCAUGUGUAGAGUGUCAACAUUGCAGCUUUCAACAAGAUCUGAAGCCUUAGUGUGUGUGUGUGUGUGUGUGUAUGCGUGCACACGUGCAAGUGCGUGAGGUCCUGCCACGAUUAAAAACUGAGACCAACCAAAAAAAAAAAAAAAAAGAAUGCUGGCCUAGGAGUCAUAGAGUUGUUACUCAUGUAUGAACGCAGGGUUUUAUAAUUUAUAGAGUGCUUUCAACAACAGUUAACAACAACACUAUAAGCAUGUGUAUAAGGUUUACACAGCUUUUACACAAAGGUAUUGAGUAGAGGCAGAAAGUAAAUCCCAAGUCUUCUGAUUCCUAGUCACAGUAAUUUUAUUGUGUAUAAGUCAUAUAACCUUUCUGAAGUGAGUUUUUCCAUCUGAAAUAUAGACUUAAUACUUACAGUGUCUACCUCUUAAGAUUGUUGUAAGAUCAUAGACAGAAUGUGAAAUAUUUUGUACAUUGUAAAACAAAUGUACAAAUGUAAAGUUGUAGUGGUUAUGUCACUUCUUAUGUUUUGGCACUGCAGGUAUGAGCUUUGGGGAAAGCUUCUAACUAGAACUGUCCAUAGUGUUGUGGAACUGAAAGGAUUAAGGUUUUUCUAUCUUUAUGGGAUUAUCAUUACUGUUUAUCUGAUGAUCUUUGCAAAUUUCUGAAGCUAGCCUAAUUUCUGAAAAUCCCAGUGGAGGAAGAAAUGGAAUCCUUAUUUCCAUGGAUUCCUGUUUCCCUUGAAUCUUAUCAAAAGGGUAAGUAGAUACUUGAAUAGAGGCUGGGUUCUGGAUCUAACCCUCCAGAUGUUCAUGAGUGGGUGCUUUAGAACAGAAAAGCUGCUUUCUUCAUGAUAGGUACAAGCAGGGCAGGGCCUUGGCUAUCAUUUCUAGAGGAAGAGAAUUCUAGGAGCUGUUCCCCCAGCAGGGUCAAUGAUUGAGCAGACUGUCUUUUGCUUUCAGUGUGAAAGACCUGGCUCUUUAACACCUCCUUUCUCUUUCAAGGGUUGUUGAUAAGAUGGGCUGGCUAGUUUGAAAAUAAGAUAUAAAGCAACACACAAGCCUGGCAUUAUAGUUGCUUUAUAAUCAUCUCUUCCACUGAUCUCCUACAACUUUCCUGAGUCAUGCUUAAAAAUAAAAUUUUAAUUUUUGUUCUGUUUUUUUUUUCCUUUCAUUCACUUACUCUCUUUGGCAAAAUAAGGACUGCAAUUCCAGAAAUGUGGGGAGGCAUUAAAGGUAUGUAGCAAAUGCAGGGAGAGAAAUCAGUACAGAAUCAGAGCGAGGAUAAGAAUGAUGGCUAACUGAGGCCUUUUUCAGGUCAAAUUAUUUCAUAAAUGUUUGGUUAAAAUUCCUGAUUUUUCUGGAUUCUUGAAAGCUUUUUGGGCUACAUGUUCACCUGUUGAGUCCAGACUGUGAAAAGGUCAUUUCUGCUUUAGUAUUCUUGUCAGUUAUUCCUAUUGUUCCUGCUGAGUUCCUGAAUCUGUAGCUCAACCUGGCGGCCUGCACUGUCUCUCUCCUGAGCGUGGCUCUCACUGCUGCUCUCACCGGAUUGCCUGUGGUGGGCAGGGGACAUGAAGCUGCUUAGACCUGAAUUUCUGUACUAGAACUUUUUUUUUCAGUAGCUGACACCCUCCAUUCAGUUUAACAUGUACUUAUGGUCAGGCUUCUCAGACACACAAAAGAAAUGUAUGUUGGCUGGGAGUGGUGGCUCACGCCUGUAACCCCAGCACUUUGGGAGGCCGAGGUGGGCAGAUCACCU